rnacentral:rRNA from 1 species
UGGUCAUUUAGAGGAAGUAAAAGUCGUAACAAGGUCUCGUAGGUGACCUGCGGAGGGAUCAUUA